CAGAGAAGUAUAUUUAGUCAGAAGGAAGCAAAGAAGCAGAGGGAAGAAAAAGCCAGGAUCGACUCAGGGCCUGGUGAGGUUUGAAGAUGACACUUAUUCUGUGAUGAUUAAGCAUCAAAGACCAUAUUGAGGGACAGGAGCAAUAGUGUCGUGGGUAGGGGCCUUAUCUUUCAUUCAGCUGACUUAAGGUCAACUCUAGCAUGCCACAGGGUCUCCUAAGCACUGCCAGGAGUGAUCCCUGAGCACUGAGGCAGAAGUAACCCCUGAGCAUUGCUAAGUGUGGCCCCAAGACCAAACAACAACAAAAAACAAACAAAUAGCAAACCCGAACAACAAUAGACCAUGCUGAAAAUCUAGGGUUCGAUAUUCUACGUACUGGAGAAACUUAGGUUUCGGAGCAGGAAAACGAUGUGGUUGGAGCUAGGUUUUGAUCAGAUAUUAUGGCAGUGUUUAGCAUGAAUUGAAAGAGAGAAAGUGGGUAUAAAGGAGAGCAUUAGAAUGAAUUAUUAAAUUGGCUAUAUUUUCUAGAAUGGCAACUGGCAGACUGUCAUUCAGUUCUUUGGAGAUUUGAUUAUAUAUGAAGUUCAGAACCCAUGAAGUUCAAGAACAAGAGUCUUCAAAAAUAGAAUUAGGACAAAGAAACAAGUCCCUGCCAAUUACCCCAUUACCCCUCUGCCUAUCACCCUAAAUAAUAAUCAAUAAAUGUCAGGGAGGCUGGUGAUUCAUUUGUUUUGCCAUUACCUUACAGUUUACAAAAUGUAGAAAGUUCAAUUAUUCCAAGGGAUUAAGUUAUGAGCUCCUGCUUUCUAGCUAUAAUUCAGAAUUACUAUAGUCUAAUUGAGAUUUAUUGGCUACAUACCCCCUACCAGUCCACUUUGAUAAACAUUAGCCAUUUAUCUCUAGAAGAGUUAUACGUAGUCUAUCCAGUAUUGGCAGCCUUUUUAUUUUACACUAGGGCCAACCAAGGGGAGUAGGAGAUAUACAAAGCAAAUGUUCUCAGUCAAAAUGAAAAAAUUGCUUUAUUGAUUCCUGUAGAGAAAUGUAUAUUCUAAUAACCUGUUUCCAGCUUAUUAAAUAGAAAAAAAGCCACUGAAAAAAUUUGGCACUGCUUUUGAGUCAUUAAAAUGCUCAUUUCUGCGCAUACAGGAGAAAUGGUAACAAAGAAGCCACUUUCUACUUUCCAAUUUUAUGCUUAAAUUAGAUUAAAGAUUAUAUUAGUUGAGAUAAAUUAGCACACAAAUUAGAUUACAUUGCAAGUAGGUGGGUCACACAUAGUCUUCCAGCCAAGAGCUGUUCAUUAAAGAUUUAGGCAAACCCCUACAUUGGUCUCCUAAAAAAAUGAGCUCCAGAGAUAAGUAAUUUGAGGGUGGUCAUAUCCCCACCAAAUUAUUGAUCAUUCAUUUGGCACUUGUCCAUUCACUGUUUUCAAGUACCUACUACAUAUUAAAUGCCUCUAAAUACAAAGGAACAAAUGAUAAAUCCUUUCCCUACAUUCUAGUGAGGAAGUGAGAGCUGAACAUUGAAAUCAGGUGAUUGAUGAGUAUUAAGGGAAAAAGAUAAACCAGUCCUAUAGUGAUCAAUGGUAUCAAACAAAAUGGAGUGUAAAGAUGAGUUUUUAAGGAAUGGACUUCAUUUUUUUUUUUUUUUUUACUUUUUGGGUCAUACCCGGCAAUGCACCUGGCUCAUGUACUCAGGAAUUACUCUUGGCGGUGCUCGGGGGACCAUAUGGGAUGCUGCGAAUCGAACCCAGGUCGGCCGCAUGCAAGCUCUCACAUAGAACUAACUGGAGCAACGGUGAUUCUGAGCAAUGUGGAUGUCGCUGAAGAUUGAUGAGGAAUGGAGAAGAGAGUUCAUAUCAUAUAUGAAACAGCACUUGGUUUGGAGCCCCAAGUCUGGACUUCUCCCUUUGCCUGUUCCUUUUCUGUUUCCCAGUCACAAGUCACCCAUUCUUUUGCAAUCAUGAAGAACUCAACAUCCUUCUUCUCAGAUGCUUUCUCCAAAUAUCAUCUGGUGCCCAAGGAAAGAAAGGACUGUCCAGUUAACAGAUGUGCCUCUACUGGCUUCACUAUGUUGGAAGGCAAGUCAGGAACUCCUUUUUGCAUUUGAAUAUGCUUCCUAUUUGUGUAGCUUUCACAGCAUUGACCCCAAGUUGUGGAAACAUUUGAUGGAAGACAAUUUUUAUCUCCUGUUUACUACUGGGUUGAUUGGUGAGUAGAGAAGAUGAUGCACCGCCUAUGUCAUAGAUGAAAACAUAACGAUCUGCACAAGAGGGAGAAGGGCCGCAGCAUCACGGCUGUGCUUUUGUACAUCUUCUAUGCUCAAGGUUGAUUGUUUAAUUAAGACCAUCUGGCUCCUUCAGCAGGCGCUAACACAAGGAAAUGCUUAUAGGAUGGGUUUUCUCAUAUUAAGUAUGACUUUUGAAAACUCAAACAGUUCUUCUUAUUUAGCCUGAGAUCAAAAGAAGGCUUAAUUAGCUUUAGAAAUUGAGCUGUAAAUAGGAAAGCCAUUCAUGGACUAGCAUGUUAUUCUUCCUUGCAGAUACACAUCAUAUAUAUCUCUCCGUGAUGAUGCAAGAAUAUCAUGUUUUUGGAGAAAAUUAUUAGCAAAAUACUGUCAAGGGAAUUUGCCUGAUAUAAAUACAAAAAACAUGCAGACAUACAUACAUAUGUGUGUGUAUAAGAAAAAUGUCUAACAAUCACACUAUCUAGCUCUUUUAUUCACUGAUUUGAAGCCCAAGGCUUCAGAAUAUUUUUCUGAGGUCUUUUUUCUACAAGACAUUAAAAAAAUUUUCCUGAAGGAUCCCUCAGUAAAUUAAUAUGGCUAUAUUAAGAGUCUUAAAUCCUUUAAUAAUUCUUUGGAUAAUUCCUAAAUUACUCUAAGAACUGUAUCCUUGGAAAUAAAGCCUAAGCACAAAAUGAACAUGGUUUUGUUGGAAGGACCAGCUAAAAGAAAAUAGGCAUCUUAAAAUUCAGUAGAAAAGUGGCAAAAGCUUUUUAGACAACCAUUAGCUAUCCUUAUGGAGGGAUAGAUUAAAAUGUCUAAAAGAAAUAGAAAUGUUAAAUGCUCUAAUUUUGCAUCAAGUAUGUAAUUUCUUUUUUGUUUUGUUUUACAUCCAACCAGUUGGAACCUGCAAAAUAAUACAGCACAGAUUUCUUUUUGUUGGUCCUAUAAUACUUCCCCCAGAACAAUUAUGCAUGUGAUUCUGGGACUGUCACAGCCAAACUGAUGUCUUCCCUUGGGACCACGAUGAACAAUUGCCUUCCCCACAGGGUGGCUCUAAAAGCUGAGUCUAAAAGCCUAGCCCAUUUGAUGAAUGGCAGCCACUCUUCUGAGCACACCACCCUUUGUGGGUGAGGCAGGGAGCCGCACAGUUGGGCCAAAAUACUUUCUCCCAAAUGGUCAUUGGAAAAUUGCAUGUGACUGCUGCAGACUCCUGUAAUAAUCAAAGAGGAGAAACCAUAACAAUUGUUAUAAGUAAGCAAAAGUGUGUGUGUGUGUGUGUGUAUGUGUGUGUUAGCCCUGCAGCUCUUAUUUUUAUAUUCAUUUUUUUAAAUUGUGCUAGUUUGUUUUAAUCCUUUUCUAGGCUUGUGUCUCAUGAAAUGAAUGAAGCUUGAACAUUUUAUUUUAUUUGCAAACUGAGUAACGCAUAAUUUAAUUUUUUUAAUGUUUGGGAUGCCACACGUUAUAACUUCAGAUCUAUGAUAUUGUUAAAAAUAAACAUUUCACUUGGGUUGCUUCCA